CCUCACAACAUAUUUGAACAUGUUCCAUGAGCAUCCAAGCCCAUAUGACCAUAACAUGACCCACAGGUCAGUACAGGGGCAGGGUGCGGGCCAUCCUUAACAUGACCCACAGGUCAGUACAGGGGCAGGGUGCAGGCCAUCCUUAACAUGACCCACAGGUCAGUACAGGGGCAGGGUGCAGGCCAUCCUUAACAUGACCCACAGGUCAGUACAGGGGCAGGGUGUGGGCCAUGACCCACAGGUCAGUACAGGGGCAGGGUGCGGGCCAUGACCCACAGGUCAGUACAGGGGCAGGGUGAGGGCCAUCCUUAACAUGAUUAGAAGAG